AUGCAGUCGAACGAGAAUCUGUGGAAAGAGGAUUCGUCCAAUUGAAGCAGAGGACAGUGGCGGACGGGUGAGUAACGCGUGAGGAACCUGCCUUUCAGAGGGGGACAACAGUUGGAAACGACUGCUAAUACCGCAUAACAUAUAGAUGUCGCAUGGCAUUUAUAUCAAAGAUUUAUCGCUGAAAGACGGCCUCGCGUCUGAUUAGCUAGUUGGUGAGGUAACGGCCCACCAAGGCGACGAUCAGUAGCCGGACUGAGAGGUUGAACGGCCACAUUGGGACUGAGAUACGGCCCAGACUCCUACGGGAGGCAGCAGUGGGGAAUAUUGGGCAAUGGGCGCAAGCCUGACCCAGCAACGCCGCGUGAAGGAAGAAGGCUUUCGGGUUGUAAACUUCUUUUGUCAGGGACGAGUAGAAGACGGUACCUGACGAAUAAGCCACGGCUAACUACGUGCCAGCAGCCGCGGUAAUACGUAGGUGGCAAGCGUUGUCCGGAUUUACUGGGUGUAAAGGGCGUGUAGCCGGGAGGGCAAGUCAGAUGUGAAAUCCACGGGCUCAACUCGUGAACUGCAUUUGAAACUACUCUUCUUGAGUAUCGGAGAGGCAAUCGGAAUUCCUAGUGUAGCGGUGAAAUGCGUAGAUAUUAGGAGGAACACCAGUGGCGAAGGCGGAUUGCUGGACGACAACUGACGGUGAGGCGCGAAAGCGUGGGGAGCAAACAGGAUUAGAUACCUUGGUAGUCCACGCUGUAAACGA
rnacentral:rRNA from 1 species